AUUGAACGCUGGCGGCAGGCCUAACACAUGCCAGUCGAGCGGAUGAAGGGAGCUUGCUCCUGGAUUCAGCGGCGGACGGGUGAGUAAUGCCUAGGAAUCUGCCUGGUAGUGGGGGAUAACGUCCGGAAACGGGCGCUAAUACCGCAUACGUCCUGAGGGAGAAGGUGGGGGAUCUUCGGACCUCACGCUAUCAGAUGAGCCUAGGUCGGAUUAGCUAGUUGGUGGGGUAAAGGCCUACCAAGGCGACGAUCCGUAGCUGGUCUGAGAGGAUGAUCAGUCACACUGGAACUGAGACACGGUCCAGACUCCUACGGGAGGCAGCAGUGGGGAAUAUUGGACAAUGGGCGAAAGCCUGAUCCAGCCAUGCCGCGUGUGUGAAGAAGGUCUUCGGAUUGUAAAGCACUUUAAGUUGGGAGGAAGGGCAGUAAGUUAAUACCUUGCUGUUUUGACGUUACCAACAGAAUAAGCACCGGCUAACUUCGUG
rnacentral:rRNA from 1 species